rnacentral:lncRNA from 1 species
UCAUGAGAUGGAUAACGAUUGAAAGUGAUUAAAACCUUGAGUAAAGGUUGAAUGAGUGAUUAAGAGAAGAGCAACGUGAACGUUGAAUACGUAAACGAUCCUCGUGAAUCGUAUUCACGUCGGACGAACGUUCCAAGUAUACCCUGGUUGUAUGACGUAGACGUAGACGUUGACGAAGGUAGUAAAUAAGAUAGGAAUUAUCGAGAAAGCCGUAACGAACGGUAAUAAGAGUAUUGAAAGCCGAAUGUGAGUCUGAUAAGAAUGAAUCCUGAGGUAUGGUAUUUAAUUACCAGAAAGCUAUAAGGAAUGAGAAAUUGACUUAGCGAAUAUUAUAGUUUAAUAGUUCAGAUAAGUUAAGAUAAGUUAGGUUGUGGUACGAUCGUAACCUUUGAUGGUUGACAUAUGGGAGCUGGGCUAAACAAUUCCUUCAGAGAGCGAAGGUAUAUACAAAACUGGCUACCGAUCUAACUCACUGUGAUGGCAGUGUAGACGAGACGGGAACUUGUUUGUUGGUUGUUUGUGGAAAACCACUCAGAGUACCAUAUGGACUACUAUCAGAGAAGCGAUGUGUGCUGAGUCCUAGAGAAGUUAUAAGAAGAAGAUAAGAAUGUAAAACAUCAAAGAUGAUGAACGUAUAAGUAAG